CCGAGCUCUCAGCGGCUUGUACACACACACCGCCAUGACUAUCACAGCCACCAGGAGAACAGCCAGCACGCUGAUGAGCAACACUGAGACACAAAGCAGGAAUAAACAAUGAUGUCCAUUGCAGUAUCAUCACUAGGUACCGGAGUCAAACCCAGCGUGUCUGUGUGGAUGUCCGGCAGCGUUCGUUCGGGUCGCAGACAAACAGCCAGACGCUGAAAUGAGAAACAGCAAUGAGGAGAAAGAGGUCAGAGGUCACUGAGCACGAUGACACGGAUCUAGAAUUCUGCUGCUCUAAAUCCUACACAGAGAUGAACCCAGUGCUGUACGCUUCUUUUAUUUGAAUUCAUUUUAAUAGACACAGCAAAAGAGAAAAGGAGAAACCUUCCAUGGACCUCCAUGGAGCCCACUAAGGUCAUUAGCUGUUUGACUUGGGAUUGAACUGGAAAUGGGUGUUACUAUGGUUAUAGGUGUUUAUAAGCAGCAACUCUUAUUAAACUACUGACCAAACUA